AAGCUAAGUCCAUAUUGUUUGUUACAUAGAUGAUAUAACAUUCGAGAAGAAAUUAAUAUAUAGUCAAAUAUAUAAAGGAGGGGGCAGAAAAAAUUGUACGUAGUAGAAAAAACCAAACGUUGAAAAUAAUUAGAAAUAUAACAUUGUUUUCUAAGACGGAAAAUGACAAUUGGAAUUUGGAAGGAAUUGCAUUUAUUUAUUGGAAACAAAAUGAGAAGAGGCCGCCGGUGAACAACCCAAAGCAUUUAUUGGAGAUCAUAAAUGAGAAGGCAAUUGAGUUUUAGUGCUUCCUUUCAAUAAACAUAAUUCAUUGUCCAAUUAUUUUGAGAUAUAUUCUGAAAUAGAUCCAAAAAUAGAGCUUCUUGCUAAUGGUGCAAAAGACUGUAUUGAAGAUUGAUGUUUCUUGUGAAAAAUGCAAGAAGAAGAUCCUCAAAGCUGUUUCAGGUCUGCCAGGUAUAGAGAAAAUUGAAAUUGAUGGAGCAAAAGGGACUUUGAGCGUAACGGGGAACGCUGACCCAUACGAGGUCAUUGUAAGAUCAAGGAAAGCUGGGAAAUUUGCGGAAGUGAUCAGUAUUGGGCCUCCACCAGCUCCUCCAAAACCAGAUGGACCGAAAAAGCCCGAGGAGAAGAAGCCCGAACCGAAAGGGCCCAAGCCCCAUAUGUAUGGGCCUCCCUCUCCCUUAAUCUGUCCUUGCUGUCAGAGAUAUUCACAUGUCGUUCACGUGACACGCAGGGAAGAACCCACCCCACAAUGCUCAAUUUUGUAAGUGCGCAAUUUUGAUAUGGACCAAUCAAUGUUAUAAGUUCGACUACUGAUAGGGGCGAAUUUAUUAAAAUUCAUGAUUACUCUUUGUAUUUAUUCAAAAUUUUCAAUUCGUUGUACGAAAAUCUUUUUUUAUUCAAAAUUUUAAAUUCGUUGUAUUUGUCCCCAAGUACGUACUUAGACCUUUUCUUUUUUUCUUCUUCUUCAUAUUCAUACUUUUGAAUUAUCAACUAGCAAAAGCACGGAAAAGUUGGAUUACAUCAUCCAUUCACAUUAUCAAUUUUUUUGUAACUUGUUAAUUGGCCCAUUUGGAGUAGUUUGCUAUUCAUCCGGCAAGGCUGUCAAAGUUAUUGGACACCCACUUCUUAAUCUGGGAAUAUGGGCUUUUCUUUCCAAGCUGCGAUCUGGAUCGUCAACUGUCCAUCUAUACAAUGAUGAUAGUAAAUCAGCAGUUGUUGUCUGCCCUGCAAUUAUCAGCGUUAACAAAUUAUCCAUGAUCUCUUCAUCAUCAAGCUUUUGAUUGGCUGGACAUGAAUCCUUCUCCAACAUGGACUGCAGGAAGUCUUCAUAAUAUUCCUUCCCAUUGCGCCGAGCUGCUAUCAUUCCCUUAAAGAGAUGUUGCAAGCCAUCAAGUGCACUGCAUUAACGGUCACCCCUACCUUGAUGCCUUUAAAAUAUCUGGUGCCCGGAAUCAUGACUGGAAAGGACAGCAUGGCAUCAGAAAUUGCAGUGCAGUCUUUUUCAAUUUGUUCUACCACAGAAGAAUCUUUGAUGCUCAUCAGCAUAUCGCACAUCGCAUCAAAUGUUGUCUGCAGCCAAAUUUCACAUGGUCAGCGAACACUCACUGCAGCACACAACACUACUAUUUCUUUUGGUAAUUGUAUACUUCAACAUAUAGCUAUCUCCCUACAGUAUGCUUAGAAUCUAGUAAUUAGGAUGACACAUCGAUCUUUUUCUGCCUGGUUUAUUGUAUCAAAACUAAAUCUUGUUUCAAACAAAUCAAAAGGGACUAAAUUUUUUCCAA